UACGUAGGGGGCGAGCGUUGUCCGGAUUUAUUGGGCGUAAAGAGCUCGUAGGCGGUUUGGUAAGUUGGAUGUGAAAUCUCCAGGCUCAACUUGGAGGGGUCAUUCGAUACUGCCAUGACUAGAGUUCGGUAGGGGAGUGUGGAAUUCCUGGUGGAGCGGUGAAAUGCGCAGAUAUCAGGAGGAACACCCGUAGCGAAGGCGGCACUCUGGGCCGGAACUGACGCUGAGGAGCGAAAGCGUGGGGAGCGAACAG
rnacentral:rRNA from 1 species